UGGCCAUGGCCGUCCUGUUCUCGAAGGGCACGAGGAGCGCUUCGGAGGGGAGCAGCAGCGCCGGCGAGGUGGCGCUGCAGGCGGCCGACGAGGAGGAAGGGCACCCGCAGGCGCAGGUCUUGCAGGGCACGGCGGACUCGUUGUAGAAGGCGGAGAAGGAGACGCAGCAGCGCGGGCUCGACCCCCUGGGCCGGGUGAUGUUGCAGACCACCUGCCAACUGGCAAUGGCGGAGGUGGAGGACUGGAGGCCGCUCGUGUCGGGGAACUGGGUCGGCCGGACGCGGACCGGGGGGCUGCA
rnacentral:lncRNA from 1 species